AUUGAACGCUGGCGGCAUGCCUUACACAUGCAAGUCGAACGGUAACAGGUCUUCGGCUGCUGACGAGUGGCGAACGGGUGAGUAAUACAUCGGAACGUGCCUAGUAGUGGGGGAUAACUACUCUAAAGAGUGGCUAAUACCGCAUGAGAUCUACGGAUGAAAGCAGGGGAUCGCAAGACCUUGUGCUACUAGAGCGGCCGAUGGCAGAUUAGGUAGUUGGUGGGAUAAAAGCUUACCAAGCCGUCGAUCUGUAGCUGGUCUGAGAGGACGAUCCGCCGAACUGGGACGGAGGGACGGCCCAGACCCCUGCGGGAGGCAGCAGUGGGAAAUUUUGGACAAUGGGCGCAAGCCUGAUCCAGCAAUGCCGCGUGGAGGGUGAAGGCCUUCGGGUUGUAAACUGCCUUUGUACGGAACGAAAAGCCCCGGGUUAAUACCCUGGGGUCAUGACGGUACCGUAAGAAUAAGCACCGGCUAACUACGUGCCAGCAGCCGCCGUAA
rnacentral:rRNA from 1 species